rnacentral:rRNA from 1 species
GACGAACGCUGGCGGCGUGCUUAACACAUGCAAGUCGAACGGAAAGGCCCUGCUUUUGUGGGGUGCUCGAGUGGCGAACGGGUGAGUAACACGUGAGUAACCUGCCCUUGACUUUGGGAUAACUUCAGGAAACUGGGGCUAAUACCGUAUAGGAGCUGCUGCUGCAUGGUGGGGGUUGGAAAUUUUCGGCGGGUGGGGAUGGACGCGCGGCUUAUCAGCUUGUUGGUGGGGUAGUGGCUUACCCAGGCUUUGACGGAUAGCCGGCCUGGGAGGGUGACCGGCGACAUUGGGACUGAGAGACGGACCAGACUCCUACGGGAGACAGCAGUGGGGAAUCUUGCACAAUGGGCGCAAGCCUGAUGCAGCAACGCCGCGGGCGGGAUGACGGCCUUCGGGUUGUAAACCGCUUUCGCCUGUGACGAAGCGUGAGUGACGGUAAUGGGUAAAGAAGCACCGGCUAACUACGUG